AACUAAUCCAAUAUAAUUUGACGAUCAUUUCUCAACGAAGAUUAAAAAUUAUAGACACGUGAUAAGAUGCUCUUUAAUUUUGGGUACCAUUUCCGUGAAAAUUAUCGUCCCAACAAGAACAAGGAGCGUUCCUAUCCAAUGGUGAAUGGUGAAUGGAUUCGAAAAAUACACGACA
rnacentral:lncRNA from 1 species